UGAGGAAUAUUGGUCAAUGGGCGGGAGCCUGAACCAGCCAAGCCGCGUGAGGGAGGAAGGCCCUAUGGGUCGUAAACCUCUUUUGUCAGGGAACAAAAGCGAGUAUGUAUACUAGCCUGAGUGUACCUGAAGAAAAACGCAUCGGCUAACUCCGUGCCAGCAGCCGCGGUAAUACGGAGGAUGCGAGCGUUAUCCGGAUUUAUUGGGUUUAAAGGGUGCGUAGGCGGCGGUGCAAGUCAGCGGUAAAAGCCCGGGGCUCAACCCCGGCGAGCCGUUGAAACUGCAGUGCUAGAGAAGGCGAGAGGUACGCGGAAUGCGCAGUGUAGCGGUGAAAUGCUUAGAUAUUGCGCAGAACUCCGAUUGCGAAGGCAGCGUACUGGCGCCUGACUGACGCUGAGGCACGAAAGCGUGGGGAUCGAACAGGAUUAGAUACC
rnacentral:rRNA from 1 species